AGAGUUUGAUCCUGGCUCAGAUUGAACGCUGGCGGCAGGCUUAACACAUGCAAGUCGAGCGGGAAUAGGUAGCUUGCUACCGAUUUCUAGCGGCGGACGGGUGAGUAAUGCUUAGGAAUCUGCCUAUUAGUGGGGGACAACAUUUCGAAAGGGAUGCUAAUACCGCAUACGUCCUACGGGAGAAAGCAGGGGAUCUUCGGACCUUGCGCUAAUAGAUGAGCCUAAGUCGGAUUAGCUAGUUGGUGGGGUAAAGGCCUACCAAGGCGACGAUCUGUAGCGGGUCUGAGAGGAUGAUCCGCCACACUGGGACUGAGACACGGCCCAGACUCCUACGGGAGGCAGCAGUGGGGAAUAUUGGACAAUGGGGGGAACCCUGAUCCAGCCAUGCCGCGUGUGUGAAGAAGGCCUUUUGGUUGUAAAGCACUUUAAUCUAGGACCACGCUACUUUAGUUAAUACCUAGAGAUAAUGGAGGGGGCUCGCAGAAUAAGCACCGGCUAACUCUGUGCCAGCAGCCGCGGUAAUACAGAGGGUGCGAGCGUUAAUCGGAUUUACUGGGCGUAAAGCGUGCGUAGGCGGCUUUUUAAGUCGGAUGUGAAAUCCCCGAGCUUAACUUGGGAAUUGCAUUCGAUACUGGGAAGCUAGAGUAUGGGAGAGGAUGGUAGAAUUCCAGGUGUAGCGGUGAAAUGCGUAGAGAUCUGGAGGAAUACCGAUGGCGAAGGCAGCCAUCUGGCCUAAUACUGACGCUGAGGCACGAAAGCAUG
rnacentral:rRNA from 1 species